rnacentral:tRNA from 1 species
GAAAUAUUUAAUAUUAAGCUGCUAACUUAAUUAAUAGUGAAUGAUAUCAUUAAUAUUUCU